UGCAGAGACUGCAAGCGUUAUUCGGAUUCACUGGGCGUAAAGGGUGCGCAGGCGGCCGAGUGUGUGAGGCGUGAAAGCCCGGGGCUUAACCCCGGAAUUGCACCUCAAACUACACGGCUAGAGCAUUGGAGAGGGUAGCAGAAUUCAUGGUGUAGCAGUGAAAUGCGUAGAUAUCAUGAGGAAUACCAGAGGCGAAGGCGGCUACCUGGACAAUUGCUGACGCUCAGGCACGAAAGCGUGGGGAGCAAAAGGG
rnacentral:rRNA from 1 species